rnacentral:lncRNA from 1 species
GUUUAUUGCUUUAUUUUGCUGGAUAAUUUUGAUGUCUAACACCAAAGUAGCCUGAAGGAGUGUUGCUAAUCUUCACUUGUUAGUACAAUAAAUAUACUUACAGGCAACUGUGUUGUUGACACUACUAUGUACUCUUCAUUGGCCAAAGAUGAACAAAGCGUUAUUUCUCUUCCAGGAGCAUAGGAGUGAUGGAAGAGGAAACCAAGUACACAACAUAAUGGCUCUGUAUUUUUAUACAUUUCAAAGUGAUCACCACACUAUAUGUUCCUGUGAGGUCUCCCCAGUGAACUCAGCAGCAAUUCCAUGUAUGGAAGGAAGAUAGAUAAAGACUUCAAGACCUCAGCGGUAAUCAGGAAACUGCAGACUGGAUCCUUCAUCUUUCAACAUAAUCUGUGUGGCUCAUAGGAUGUGGGGUUGCCUCAUCUAAUGUGCUGUGUGGGGCUUCCUUCUUGCAGACAGGAGCAUCUGCUACACACCCCUGAUGUGCAUGUAUUUAUUCUGUCCACGGAUCAUCACCUCUAAUAAACUGUAAGGCACAGAUUUUCCUGUUUUGUUCACUAAUGUAACCUGAGUGCCUGGAACAGUGUUAGCACAUAAUAGGUGCUCAAUAAGUAUUUGUUUAGAGUGUGAGGUGA